rnacentral:lncRNA from 1 species
UAAAAUUUUACAAAAACCAAAUCUUUGCAAUAACAUACUAAAACCCAAACAUGGGGAAAAAGAAAAACUACAGAACCCACUCCUUCCAUUCCCCAUCUAUUUAUUUCUCAAACUUCUACCGUUCACACAUUUAACCAAACACACAAACUUUAAACCUUUUUAUUAUUUCAUCCCAUUCUACACCUUCUCUUAGGGUUUUGCACCCUCUACCACUUCACCAGCGUAGCUGCAGCACUUGUGCCCACAUCGACCAUAUCGGCAACCUCUGCCGUAGCCACCACGGCCACCACCAUAGCCUCCACGGCCACCGUAAUGACCACGACCAUACCCACCACGACCACCGCCAUAGCCUCUGUCGUACCCACCGCCAUAGCCUCUGUCGUACCCUCCACCAUAGCCUCUGUCGUACCCUCCACCAUAGCCUCUGUCGUACCCACCUCUUCCAUACUUGGCAUCCUCUACGCCAUUGGUUUCCACUGUGACCUCUGCAAUGUUAUAUUUAAAAUUAAUCCUUAACUUUACGAAAAUGUUAUAUAAAAUCAAAAUCUGUAUAUAAAGAUGUUAAAUAAUGAGUAUAUAUAUUUUACAUGAGUUUUUUCUUAAUAUUCGUGUCUGUUCGGAGUUAGUUUAUGUGUACCUAAACUAAGUUUACCGAACAAAUUUGGAUGUGAAAGGAACAAGCACAAAGAAUAUUAAAUCAUCAAUAGAAGACUACUAUGCAUUCAACUUCUUAGAUGACUUAAAAUUUAUUAUAACAUAAAACUCACCGUUGUCAGUCUUGGAGGAGGUCUCCGCAAGGUCCCUUGCAGCCACUUCAGAGGAGAGGAGAAGAACGAAGGCGAGAAGAAGGCCAAGGAAAACAAAGGCUUUGGAACUCAUAUUUGUGUGUAUUGUAAGAGAUUGGUUUUGGGGGAGAGGGAUGAGAAAGAUUUGCAUUCUUAUGGAGGUAUUUAUAGGUCCAUAAAAGGGAAAGUGAGAUGAGAAUUGAGACAAUGGCAAUGGCAAUUAAAGACUGGCCCAUAAUUUGGUUGGGUGUUAGAUGAACUGAUUGAGAAGUAUUUUGAAAUGAAGAAGAAAAUUUGAGUCAGCUCUCUUCAAAAAUCUUUAUCUUUUAAAUGAUUUGUAAUCAGUCAAACUCUUUAGUAGUGUGACUGUAUCAAACUCCAAGAGCUUCUUCUAUCCAAUUAUCAAUAAUAAUAAUAUAAUUAUGGAAAAACAAUUUGUAGCAUGCUUUCAUUUUCUAUUUCCUAAACUUGGUAAACAAAGUUAUUUGUCUUAAAAAUUAAAACUAAUAUUUUUCAUAAAUUACUUACCAAAAUCUAUCAAGUAAAUACUGUAGGUUAGUUAUUUAGGGUUCAUUUUUUUCACCUUGUGUUUUUUCUUAAAAAAAUUGAUGUUUAAUUAGAUUUUUUUUUCUAUUAAUGAUUGAUUUGUUUUGGUAUAUCAUUUUCGAUCCAAUAUAACAAAAUGAACAAAAUAUGUGACAUUUUUUAAAAUAAAAAAUAAAUUAAAAUAUUUACAAAGUAUAACAAAAUUUUAAAUUCUAUCAAUGAUAGAAACUGAUAUGCUACUAUCACUGUCUAUCCAUCUCACUAAUAGAAACAUGUUAAUGUCUAUCAAUGUCUAUUAUUGAUAAAAUAUGAAAAUCGUACUAUUUGUUGUAAAUAUUUUGUCAAAUUUACUAUUUUUUACCAUUCUCUCUUAAAAAAAUAUUUAUAAAUACAGUAAAUUUCAAAAUCUAUCAAAGAAAUUGGUAGAAAUAUUUAUAUAGUAUAUGUGAUAUAAAUAAACACUAAUAUGAUUGAAGUUUUUUGUGUCUACUAAUAUCUAUAUUUUUUAUAUUUCUAAAUUUGGCUAUAUUUAUAAAUAUUUUCAAGAAUUUUAGUUUAUACAUUUUCAAAUGGUUUAUCUUAUAUAAAAUUUGAAUAGACAAACAUAAAAUAAAGCACAGCACAAUAAAGAAAACGUUAUUGAAUAGCUUCCACUGAACCCAAUUUGCAAAUAUCAUUGAUAUUUGUAAUAUUCUUUUAAUGCUAUGUUUUCUUACAAGAUAACGAGAGGAUAUUUUUAUAUUUAUGUGAAACUCAUCAACUUAUAUGAAAAUGUCAAAACAACAUUUAUUUAUUUCAUACUCUUCAACUUGGUGUCUGUCAUUCUUUAAAUAGAAUUUUCAAAGCUCAUAAAAAUCUCUCGAAAUUUGAGAAGAUAUCAACGCCCUUACGGAUCAUUGGACAAGCAUAUCUCCUCUCUUCAAAAAUUAUUUUGAUAGCUCUAUUGCUCUAAGUAUUUAUGCUUUUGUUUAAUUGUACUGACUUUGGGUCUUUCUUGGACUUUCCUCUAACCCUUGCUUUUGUUUUCCCUUCUUUCCAUAUUAUCUAUUAUAUAUUAAUGAAGCAUGAAUGAUGAUGAUGCUACGAAGGUACUGUUCACAUAGUGGAGAUGAUGAGAUGUCUUAGUGCAUCUAUUGACCUAUCUCGUAUCUUUUUUAAAAAAAAAAAAACAUUUAUAUAUUUCGUAUACUAUAAUUUUGCAAUAAAUUUAAGAGACCUUUAUAAAACUAACUCCCAAACUAUGCGGGGUAGUGAUAGUUGUGAAACCUAUUUCUAAUUUGAGUAUAGAAAGUAAAAUUUGGUUAAGUAUUUUGAAAAUUUGUAUUUUGGAUAAGAGGAGACAUUUUGAAAUAAGACUUUGCGAUAAGAAGUAUGUGUUUGAAUCAAUCCACAGAAAUGAUUAAGUGAUAAAAUCUUUUAUGGUUAAGUAUAAGUUUUGUUAUUAAGAAGUUAAUUCACGAGGGAGUUUUGAGAAAAGAAUGAUUUGCAAUAGGACCUAUAAACACUUUCAAUAGAAAGAGUCUUCACGAGAAAAUGUUGAAGUUAUUCGUAGAAUGGAAAUAGGCGAGAAGUAAGGUCUGGCAAAGAAAACGUCUAUCUGAUUUGACAGGGGUUAAUGUGUAAGAUUAAAGGUUUAAGCAUGACUGAGUUAAAUAUUAAAUUUACAUGUGUAAAGUUUUAAUCAGGAACCAGCGAACUUAAAAGAGUUUAAGCAUGACUAAGUUAGUUUAAGAGCUAUGUAAAUAAAGGACCUAGUCAUUAAGUAAGCACAUAGAUUUUAUUAAAAAAAAAUUACUAAAAUGUUGUUGUUUUGCUUGACGAGAAAAAGAAAAAAAAAAACAAAGUGUUAAGUGCUACGAUGUGUUUCACAAGAAGGCUCCACAAAAGAAAAGGAAGAGAAGGAUUUUUGAUAAAGUGUGGGAAUGUUUUCUCUUAAAUGAAUUAAUUAUGUUAAAAAAUUUAUUAUAAUUUCUCUUUACUUAUUUAAAAGAAGAAUUCCAAUGAUAAGUGUUUCAAAUGAAAUUUAUAUCAAAAGUCUAUAUGUUUUCAAGUAUGAUUUAUAAUGUUAAAGUUGUUUUCUUGAGAUGAUGCUAACUUUUAUGUGCACAUAAAGAGUCAAGGUUACUAUGGGGUGUACAAGGCUACAUGGUGAUAAGAAGCUGGUUUAUGCUUUGAAAUGAGCGUAUAAAGCUUAGUUGGCCUGAGCAACAAGGACAAUCUGUAUGUUUUCGGAUGUUGUUGAUACAACAGUCUAAAUGUAGGGUAAUGAGACCAAACGUAGAAAACGAUUCGAGAUCCUUGAUGAAAAGUAUAAUUGACUAAUGGGUGUUAUUGUGAAAUGAAUCUUGAUGUGAUUCACAAGUUGAACUAAUUUUAUUGUAAAAAUGAUUAUAUACGUUUUGAUAUGUUUUGCCAAAUGAAGUGUUUAUUGAUAAACUGAUUUGUGUUGAAAUUUAUGAUUUGACGAAAAACAUUUUCAAAGAGCAUUGCAAAAAGGAUUUCAUUAAAACCUCACUAAAUCUUUUAAACUUGCAUUUUAAAUUUUAUCUUCCAAGAUUUAGCAUUUAGGCCAAUUAAAGAAGAAGGUUGAAGGGCUUGCGGCAAGUUGAGAAAGCCACGAGGCGUUAAAGAGCUUUGAUCGAUAAAUGUUAAUUAUUUGAUCAAAAUGUUGUAAUUGUUUGUUCAUACCAAACGCCUGUUAUUAAUAUAUUAAAGUGUGUGUUUCAGGUUAUGUUACUUAUUGUACUUGGCAUUUAAAGUUGAUUUUCGCUACGUUUUGAGUUUCACUUCAUAGUUUGAAAGGAGUUGAGAAUAAGCUAGGCAGUAAGACUAAUUGUAAAGUUUAAUUAAAGUUAAAUCUUGUAAAGUUUAAAGUUAAAUCAUGUAAAGUUUAAAGUUAAAUCACGUCCUAUCCGCACAACUUCCUGCAAUUUUGUUGUCGGAACAGAGUGUGACAAUAGCGAUGCACCUAAACUAAAUUUACUAUUUUGGUUGUUACAGUGGUCGAUAUGAAUAUAGAUCAAUGGAAAGAAGAAUAUCAACAUCCUCUCUAAAACUUAAAUAUAUUAAUCUAAAAUUUUCAUUUUUAUGUUAAAUUGAGAAGAAGAAGAAAAAAAAAAGAAACGAAAGCAAAAGUAUUAGGUAAUAAAAAUAUUUUGAAGAUGAAAAAAAUUUGAAGUACUCUUGAAAGCAUGAAUAAAUAAAAUUUGGUUCCACUUGUAUUGUUGAAUAUCCUCUUGUUCCUUUCCAACCAAAUGUUCCAGAUAACCCCAUCAACAGACUGUAAUUGUUGAUUUCAUAACACACAAACUUGAAAUCAACAAUUAAGUAAUAGAAGACCGUAAAGAUCGACACACAGAUAAAACAUGGUUCACUAACAGUGUAUUAGCAACUACAUCCACAAACAAAGGAAGAAAAAAUAUGGUUAGGAGAGAGUGUUUUCUAAUACAAAUGUAGCUGGAUAGAGUGCAUCCAAUGAAAUUCUCAUUGUUUUGGUUGCAGACCGAGCACGCCAACUUGGAUUAAGGCAGUGAUUUGGGAGGCUAUUUAGCAGAAUAAUCUCCACAGUGUUUCCCGGGUAGAAUUUAGCAUAAGAAAAAAUUUCACUUCUUAAUUAGAAUGGGAGAUUUUUACAAAUUAUUAAAGAUUGUCAGGACUAAGAUUUUCUAUCUUUGGAAGAUCAUUUCCUCUUUCCUCGUUAGGCUUAGGGAAAGAUGCUUUGACAUUAUCCCAUAUGCUAAUGUCCCUAUCCCGGAGGGGUCCUCUAGGCUUAAUAUCCCAACCAAUCUUUAAUCGAGCUAUUUGCGCCAAGGGAUGAAGCAAAAAGCUUGGGGAAGCCAAAGGAGAGAGGACCGUGUUGGUUCAAUUUUUUAUGCCAAAAAAGAAAGAGAAAGAAGAGAGCAAGAUGAUUAUACUAAAAAAGAAUUGCCACAGUUUCUAUUUUAAUUAUUAUCCCUGCAUAACUCUUUCACAUAUAUAUUUAUAUCCAUAGGUUGUACACAAGUGAAACUAUCCUCAAAUUUAUAUGCUAUUUAUAUAAUAUAUAUAUAUAAAACUAUAAUAGUAUACUAUAGUCAUGUAGUUCAAACUUCGUUUAUUACCUUUUUAUUUUAAAAAUAUUUUAUUAAUAGUAAAGUUCCUGUGAACAUAAAUUUCUCCAUCAUCUGCUCCUACUUGUAUAUAUCAUCUUUAAUUAAUUAUCAUUUAGUGUCCACAUGUACAGUUUAAUUCCCAAAUAGUGUUCAACAAAACGAAGUAUUAGAAAUUUUCACUUUAUUUUUCUCAUUCAUAACUCCUAAUAAGUAGAUAGGUCCACAUGUUUCAUGUUACAUCUAUUUAUUUUAAUGCGUAUUAAUUUUUGGUGGUGAAAUUCAAACUUUUAAUUAAAUUAAUUAUCUCAGUCAUGUUUAUUUACUAUAAAUAUCACUAUAAAGAUCAAUUGAGCUAAGCAUGCUUAAUAAAGUUUAAAAAAUUACUCUUCUAUACACGUGUGGCAAUAAAGAUAACAAAAUAUCACUAAAUGUAAAUAAAUGUUUGGCAAGUUUUAUUAUUUUUAUAACUUCUUUAGAAAUAUUCAAUCGAUAUGGAUAUGAUAUUGAUUUUUGUUUUAUAAAUUCGUGAAAUUGAGAAAUAUAAGCAUUUUCAUCAACAUUCGCAUCCUAGACAUUACUCCUAUAUGACUAAUGAAUUUGAACUAGCGAAACUAAUUCAUAAAACUAAAUGAACAAAUUUUAAAAAAUUUUAUUUAAAAUAACAAAUAUGAUAGAACGUAUAAUAUUUACAAAUGUAACGACAAAAUUUUACUUUCAGAUCGUGAAGGUUGUGGUAAACCUGAUAGACAUCAUAUAUUAUUUUAGGCGUUAUAUUGUAUUGAUAAUAAAAGUAAAAUUUUAUUCUAUUUAUAAAUAUUUAUAAUAAUUUUUUAUAUUCAAAACAAUUCAAAAAAUUAAGUUGGCCUAAAAUUUCUAUUUUCAAUAUUUAUGGCCAUAACAGUUAUUUAAGUGAUCGGACUCCAUGAGUUCGUAAAAUUUAAAUGAGUUAGGCAAACAAGUAUUAAUUUGUAAUUUAUUUCUUUUUCUUAAUUGCAUUUUCUUGUUUUUGACAUGUUUAUUUAUUUUUAAUCUAAGUUGAAUGAUAUGGUAUUAAAUUUGUCUUUCAUCCGUUAAUUUUUCUUCUUUUCUUAACAUACCUUCCAGUUAUUGUCGCUCCAAUCAUCCUCAUCUUUGUCUCCGUCCCUAGGCCCAGGCAUCUCCCUCAAUGCAUCCUCUAUCACAAAUAGGUUCCAAAAUAAUUACAGUCUAAGAAAAGUUCAUAGAGUAACAACAAUUUCUCUCUCAAACAUUAAACCAAUAUAUAUAUAUAUAUAUAUAUACUAGAAAGAACACGUGUUUUGUACGUGAAAAGUGUAAUUUUAAAUCUUAAAUUUAAUUUUAGUGUCACAAGUUAAAAACUAAUUAUAAACAAUAUCUUUAGUUUAUAUAUAUAUAUAUGCUAUUAUUAAAUUCAAAUCUACCAAUAAUAAGGUGACCAGAUUGGACAAUUAGAUCUUAACCAGAGAAUAUAAAGGACCUAUAUAACAAUAUAAGUUUAUGAAAUAUACAACUAUAUAACUACAAAAUAUUAUAUAAACAAGGAGAGAAAAUUAGUGAGCAACCAUAAUAUAACAUGUACUUUUUUUUCAUUGAAAAUAAAUUAAAAAAUAAGAAAAUAAAAAGAGAUCAAAUGAUGGAUAAAGAAGUCUCUCCAAUCCAAAAUAUAAUGCUAAAAGACGACCAAAAUUUAAUUAAUAGAUUAUAGAUACAUAAAUGAAAUAAAAUUAUAGUGCAUAGUAAGUAUUGUAGAAAUAUUGCUUAUUCGAGACAUAGUUGACAUCGUUGGAGGCCUCCUUGGAUUCUCUAUACAUUUGUUGAAAAACACAGAAAUUCUCCUUGUUUUACACCAAAUAAUUAUUCUCCUAUACGUGGAUUUAUUUGAUUGCUCACAAUUUCAUUAGAUUUUAUUUUAUAUAAAAAUACACAGAAAGAAAAUGAUUGGGAACGUGAACAUGAGUCACAAAGAAGAUGAGAGAGAAUGUGUGAGUGAUAGAAGGGAAGAAGAAAAUUUUAUAUAGCUUUAAAAUUGAGCUAAUGAAUAAUAAUAAUAAUAAUAAUAAUAAUAACAACAACGACAAUUAUUAUUACUAUUAUUGCAUAGAAUAGGAGAGACCAUGAAAUAUAGAUAAAUUUAUUUAGUUGUGGUUGCCAUUUUGAGUACCACCGUAAACUUUGGAUAUUGCAGGCAAGGUGGUUAAUAGAAUUAAGAUUUUAUUAUAUGUAGGUAAAUAUUUUCACCGAUUUUAAUAUUUAGAUGUUUUCUUUUAUUAUUAUUAUUAUUUAGUAUGAGUGAUCAUGUGAGUUUUUUUCUUUCUUUCUUUUUUCUAACGAAAUAUAUUGAAGAUUUUAACUAAAGAUGAAAGAAUGUGUGUAUACUAAAAAUAAGUGAGACGAUCAAUAAUAUCUGAAAGUAAUUAACUGAGAGAAUAGCUAAAGAAACAGACAAAACAAAUAAUACAGAAGACUUUGUUAGCCUAAUUUGACGAAUACCACCUAUAUCUGGAAGCUUCUUAGCUCAUAUAAGAAAUAUUAUUAUAUAAGAUUUAAAUGAGCAAGGAAAACACUUUUAAGUUAUUACAAAAACUUAAUUAAAGACCGACUUUCAUUGAAUUUGUGUUUGAAUCUUUUUGAAGAUAAACUCAAACUCCCUUGAAUUCAUUCACCACAGUUCAACUAUUUCAGUCUUCUUUCAUAUUUCUUAUCAACAGGUGCAGCGUAAAAACCACUUGCAGAACUUCAAUAAUAUUCCAUCUUCAUAUAAAGAAUGCAAUUCGACAACCUUCACAAACAAUAAUUUGAUCUUCGAAAGAGAACUUCUUUGAAAUCAAUUUUCUAUCAAUUUGCACGUCGAACUAAGCCAAUAUAGUUUAAUUAUUUAAAGAUCGAUAUAAUAUAUUUCCGGUAACUUCUUUAUGGAGAGAUAUAGAUAAAAGAUUCAUGUUAGGAAAGAAAAAUAUUUUAUCUUUAAAUAAUAUCCUAAUCUUUAAAUAAGGAAGUUAAUAAUAAAAAGAAAUUUAUUGGUGUUGUUGACAAAAAUAUCAACAUAUACGUUAACUAUUAAAAUUUAUGUUCAAGUUAUGGAAAUAAAAGCGUUAAUUACAGGAAAUGAAAAUAUGUUUGGUGAUAUUAUAAAAUUAAAAUUUGCAAAAGCAAAUGUUUGAAAUAACAUACUAAAACAAACCCAAACAUGGGGAAAAGAAAAACUACAGAACCCACUCCUUCCAUUCCCCAUCUAUUUAUUUCUCAAACUUCUACCGUUCACACAUUUAACCAAACACACAAACUUUAAACCUUUUUAUUAUUUCAUCCCAUUCUACACCUUCUCUUAGGGUUUUGCACCCUCUACCACUUCACCAGCGUAGCUGCAGCACUUGUGCCCACAUCGACCAUAUCGGCAACCUCUGCCGUAGCCACCACGGCCACCACCAUAGCCUCCACGGCCACCGUAAUGACCACGACCAUACCCACCACGACCACCGCCAUAGCCUCUGUCGUGCCCUCCGCCAUAGCCUCUGUCAUACCCUCCUCUUCCAUACUUGGCAUCCUCUACGCCAUUG